GGUUCUAUGGUGUAGCGGUUAACACUCUGGACUUUGAAUCCAGCAACCCGAGUUCGAAUCUCGGUAGAACCU
rfam:Pristionchus pacificus strain PS312 contig2273, whole genome shotgun sequence.